GCACAGUAUUCAAGACAAUGUGUGAUUGCAUGGAAGGAAUACUAUGAAGUGUUAAAUUAAUUUCUAUAUUUGUAAUUUUGUUAAACACUGUUCACGUGUUAUAUAGAAAAAUUAAUUUCGAUACUGUAACAAUGACGGCCCCAAUGGAAAGAAUACAGGUUUUGGAUUCAAUUGAGAAAGAUAUUAUAACAUGUCUGCAGAGUGCAGGUCAAGCACUUAUUGAACUAAGUAAAGAAAAGUCCAGUCUGAAACAAGCAGAAAGCCAGACUCAUCAGUUUCUGAAGACUUUAGGUCAUGUUGAAUCCAAACUUACUGAACAGAUCAACUACCUGACACAAGUUUCAACAGGUCAGCCUCAUGAAGGCUCUGGUUAUGCUUCACAGAAGGUUCUCCAAAUGGCAUGGCAUCGAUUAGAACAUGUUCGCAGUAGAGUCAAUGAACUGGAACGAAUUAAAAACAAACAUUUACAGGGAAGGGCCCUGUUGCGUCCCCAGCCACAGCUCACCCAGAGUCAACAGAAUGGAACACAGCCAGUUGGAAGUGCCACUGGUGCAGGAACAACUGGGUAGAACGUAAGACACCAAGGAAUUGUACUGAGAAACAGUUCAUCUUAUGCCUCAAGGAGCAAAAUGAGUAUUUACAUUUCUGCAUCUUGUCAAGAGAAUACUGCAGGCCCUAAGUCAUGAUGGAGAACAAAUGUGACUGUCCAAAAAUUGGAAGAGAAGCGUGGAGAAAGACUGCAGAGAAGUAACGUCAAUGACAGUAAUGGAAAGACUAAUUCUUGGAUUGACAGUUGAUGGAAUUUGUUCACGAAGAAGAUAUUUCCAAAUUAUUUAUUACCUAGUAUCAUGAUUUUAUUGUUAAUUUUGGCUUCAUGACAUGUUCUUAUUCAUACUUCUGCCUGCUGCGGCUCCCAAUAAAAUCAACUCAAUUGUUUUAGGCUUGCAAUCAAAGAAGGAUGUUAUCCUGAUAUUCACACUCUGAUACAGAGCAUACUGAAGCUGUGGCUUCAAGCGGUACUGCAGAUAGACAUUAACGUUUCAUAGGAACUUACUGCUUCCAUCUUCAGGCACCAAAGUGUGGUGAGGCUGUAAGAAAGGUAGUCCCUCAGAUCAGUGGUACUGGUCAACAGGAAAAGCAAAAGCAAAAGAUUGGCCCUUAUGAGGGACACAGUUGUCAGUGCAGUUUGUAACAGUCACCAUGAAGAUGUACGUAUCUAAAAUGCUAUAUGAUCCGGACAUGCAAUGCAGCAAGUACAAGAUCCAUUUUUUUUUGGUUUAACAAUUCACAUCUGUAGCUCAGACUACACAGUGUCAAAUGAGAGUAUGCCAGAGAAUAAUAAAUUGGAAAGGAUGUGGAAGGAUGAAGGUGGCACCAGUCUGAAGAACUGUCCUAUUCAGGCACAUGCCCGGGGGGACUGACAAUCUCCACAAAGAACCUGUCAGGAUAGUUGGUCUCUAAGCUGAGAUUUGAACGUGGAACCUCCCAAUUAUGAAAAAAAAAUGCUACCUAUCAAACCACUAUGUUCAGUAAAGGUAAAGAAUAUGUAAAAUUAUCUCACCUUACAGAAUUCUGAAACCCUACAAAUGAUCUGCAGAGUUGUUUCAUAAGAUACAAAGAAUUACUCAGUAUAUUUUAAUAAUGUAAGAAAUAUUGCAAAAAAGAAAUUACAUCUCUUUCUUCCGCAUGUAACAUAGAUCAAAAUACUCAUCACAGAGGGUAUUACCAAAGUUUUACAAGUGAACUGCCUAGUAAUGUAUAUAUGACAUAUUUAUAUAUCAUAAACAACAAACAGGAAUGAAUGAAUCAAAAUACAGUGGAACCCCCAUUUGAUGACCCUUAAACUGAUGUUCAGUUUCAAAAGUUCCAAGUUGAUCUCAGUACUAAAUUGCCUCAAUUUAACAUUUUCCUGUUUGCUGUUGAAAUUCACUGAUCCCAAAAGAAGCGUUUAAUGGGGGGUUUCACUGUAAGUAAACAAAGUAAGUAAAGGUAUCCCUGUAACAGGCUGUGGAGGCCCAUAGGGUUGUGAGAAGUUGAGGCUCUCACAUUU